rnacentral:rRNA from 1 species
UGGGGAAUAUUGCACAAUGGGGGAAACCCUGAUGCAGCGACGCCGCGUGAGCGAAGAAGGCCUUCGGGUCGUAAAGCUCUUUUAUAUGGGAAGAUAAUGACGGUACCAUAAGAAAAAGCCCCGGCUAACUACGUGCCAGCAGCCGCGGUAAUACGUAGGGGGCUAGCGUUGUCCGGAAUCACUGGGCGUAAAGGGUUUGCAGGCGGCAAUGCAAGUCAGAUGUAAAAGGCAAAGGCUCAACCUUUGUAAGCAUCUGAAACUGUAUAGCUUGAGAAGUGUAGAGGCGAGUGGAAUUUUUAGUGUAGCGGUGAAAUGCGUAGAUAUAUGGAGGAACACCGGUGGCGAAAGCGGCUCUCUGGUCUGUAACUGACGCUGAGGCUCGAAAGCGUGGGGAGCGAACAGG